rnacentral:rRNA from 1 species
AACGAACGCUGGCGGCAUGCCUAACACAUGCCAGUCGAACGAGACCUUCGGGUCUAGUGGCGCACGGGUGCGUAACGCGUGGGAACCUGCCCUUAGGUUCGGAAUAACUCCCCGAAAGGGGUGCUAAUACCGGAUAAUGUCUUCGGACCAAAGAUUUAUCGCCUUUGGAUGGGCCCGCGUUGGAUUAGCUAGUUGGUAGGGUAAAAGCCUACCAAGGCGACGAUCCAUAGCUGGUCUGAGAGGAUGAUCAGCCACACUGGGACUGAGACACGGCCCAGACUCCUACGGGAGGCAGCAGUGGGGAAUAGUGGACAAUGGGCGAAAGCCUGAUCCAGCAAUGCCGCGUGAGUGAUGAAGGCCUUAGGGUUGUAAAGCUCUUUUACCCGGGAUGAUAAUGACAGUACCGGGAGAAUAAGCUCCGGCUAACUCCGUG